rnacentral:lncRNA from 10 species
CCACGACCCCCCAGACGCGCCCCGAGGCACUUUCGCAGCACAGUGGAGUGGGAAGGGCGGGGCGGCCCCUCGACGGCGCCGAGGCGAGAGCGGCUCACGGGGCUUCCCGGGCCCUGAUCUCAGGCGACGCCUGUCCGCCUCGUCCCCGGGGGAAGACAGUGACCACCGGUCUGCAAAGGAAGGGGACUCGGCGCAUGCCCCGCAGGGCCGGCCCAGGACUCGCAGGCGCGGAAGGCGGUGCCGAGGCGGGGGCGGGGCGUGGAGGGACAGCCCUAGUCUCCGCCCGCCGGGGCCCACAGCUGCCUCGCUCCCCGCCUCCGCUUCGGUCGCUCCUGUGCGGUCAUACUGCUGGGAUCCUGGCAGAGACAACCUACCUUCCAUAGAGGGGACACGUCACCCCAGGAUUCUGCCACAGGACUUUUGGAGGUAAAGCUGAAGUGGGGCCCACAGCCUCACGAUGACAGCACUGGCCACCGUCAUGGAGAGUAGAGUCAGUGGGCAGGUCAAAGAGUAAGGCUGGACCUGUCAGGGUUCCGGGGUGGAAUCCUCAAAGAUCCCCAAUCACAUCAUUGUCAGCAAUGGCUGGGAGCAUCCACCCCCUCCUCACAGCAGCCCUAGGAUGUCGGUGCCAGUGUUACCCCCAUUUUCAGACAAAAACAGGAGGGAAAUGUGACUCAUGAAGUUGGGCUCCAGAGCCUGAGCCCUUUCUCGGCUUUGCUGCACUCCCUCCCACUCCUGCCCUUUGGAGAUUCCCCGUGGUGUGUGGUGUGUGGUGUGUGGAGUGUGAUGCAUGUGGAAGGAAGGAGUCGGAGGCAAGUCUGGCUCAGUAUCUCCCAGGCCUCGGGUCAUCACGCGAAAAACAGAGGAGGGUAAAAUGAGAACCGCUGUUCUCCUCUCGGGCCUGAUCGGCUGAACUCUGCAAGCACAGACUGACCAGCUUAGAAUUCUCAGCAGAUCACAGAGCAGUUCUCAUAGAUGUUUGCAUUAUUGUGAUGUAAAGCUACUGACUUCUCAGAUCUCUAAUAGUCUCUCUGACACAACAACCUAAGGGUAGAAAGAAAGAGAUACAAAAGAGAAGAGUUAGAAAUCCAGGGAGAUUUGAAAAGCAGCACGUACAUAAGCCUAGUCAUUGCAAUGAAAAUCUCAUCCAAUGGACUCAACAGCAAAUUGAUGCCCCUGAACACAGAAUGAGUGACCUGGAAGACGAUGCCAAAGACACUUCCUCCUGCCCCGUUCUUAGCAGAUGAUGUGGCUUCCUCCUUCUGUGACGCACUGCAGCAGCCCCUCCUCGAGGUCCAGAGCCCUAGGCCUUCCAUGCUCCCAGGCUCAGUACUAGACUCCUGGUCACCCCAACAUCUUUAUUUUUGCCUCCCUGCUCUGGGGGUUGUAGCUUCUUCCUUCACCAACUCUGUUACUUCAGUAUCCCUUUUGCACUUUCAGCCCUCAAACCCCAAGUAAAUACGCUUUCACUUCCCUUUCUUGAGAUACUA